ensembl:lncRNA
AUGGAAAAGCAGAGGCUGCUGUAUCAGCAGGCCCGACUUCAUGAACACGGAGCUGCUGAGAUGGUCUUGCAGAACCUCAGCACCAGCAAAGAAAAUGCUGGAUUACCCGCGAAAGAAGAGAGAUGUGGACUUCUUUCACAGUCUGGUCGGCCUAAUGUAGUCUUGCAGGCGAUAGAGUAAUGGCAGAUGAACAGCUGACCUGUGAUCUUUUCUGAUUCCUCCAGCUUCUUUGUGAAGGCCAUAAUAAUGGUUAGAACAAACAUGUUUUAUUUUUUUUUAAUUUUUAUUUUUUUGUUUUAUAAUGCAAGGUUCUUUUGCACCUUGGUUGUCAACGUCAAAAGGUGAAGUGUAAUAUGCUUUGUUAAAAUACUUUCUCCUAUCCAACUUUAACCAUACUAUAAGUAAGCCAUUUGUAAACUGAUUUCCCUAAAAAGUGUACACACUGUAGUGCUACACAACAGUGGUCCAACAUAUCAGCAGUUGGCUCAAGCAAUUUCAGUAUGGGAAUUAUUCUACCUUCAAAACUGGGGGUCAAUAAGAUUUUUUUUAAACUGAAAAACUUUGAUUUCAGAAGUGAUAGUUUAUGAUGUUACAAAAUAUAUAUAUUUCAAAUAUUCACAAAAAUAUUAAGCAGCACAACUCUUGAGCACCAAAUCAGCAUAUAAGAAUGAUUUCUGAAUGAUCAUGUGACACUGAAGUCUAGAAUAACAGCUGCUGAAAAUUCAGUUAUAUUCAGUAAUAUUAACUUUUAAAUAUCUUUUUUUAAUUGUAAUGUUAUUUUACAAUAUUACUGUUUUACUGUAUUUUUACUGUAUAUAUUAGUUUACAGAUCUGCACACUCUGAACCACAAAGUAUUGGCAGUAAGCAAAAGUAUUGGAAGCCCAGUGGUGUACUGCAGCUGCAGGCUAGCAACCGAAACAUGUUUGUUGUUUUGUUUCAUAUCGUCAUUGUAAAAGGAAAAACAGUCUGUACCUUCUGAAUGUAAGAUGUUAACUACGCAAAAAAUCACCAGAUUAUUCAUUAUUGAUUAUUGUACUCUAUUGACAGCUCUAUUUUGCACAUAUUAAUCUUAAACACCAUCAAUAUUCUGGUUUAAUUUUGUAAAAACUGGAGACAAAUGAAAUUUCCCCCACAGACUUCCAGAACUACCUGCGGACUCAAACUGGAAACAACACAACA